ensembl:lncRNA
CACGCACACGCACACACAUGCACACACCCACACACCAAGACAUACCUUCCUGCAAAGCCUCAGAUAGACAACCCCCAAGCCCCAGGCACCCACGCUGAGUGGUGGGGGUGGGGGAGCCAGAUUGAAGUGGCCAGGGCAGGAGGAGGGAGCUGCAGAAAGACUGAGGGUGCAAAACAAACACAAGCCCAGCAGACAUUUCUCAGCCUGUUAAUUUCCUACAGUUCUGUUUUCCAGCCUCAGAAACAAGCUGGUUUCUGCCAGUUCACCCCCUUCCCCUGCCUGCACUGUGCAGCUGGUGAGCAGGGAGAAGUUGCAGGGAGGAGGGGGCCCAGAGGAGCUGGGAGGGGACUGGGUCCUCAUUUGAUUUAUAGAAGGACAGGCAAGAUGCAGAGAUGUCUCAGAAGCUGUGACUCCCCAAAGAGAAGCCCAACUGGAAGAUUUGCAGGCUGGACCAGUAUAACCAGACAAAGCUGAGUCUACAGGAGGAGGACUCUGCCUGUCAGCUCACAAGAGACCUGCACAGCUUCCCUGCACUCCUCAACCCUCUGCCAAGGCUGAGAAGUUAUUAGGAGUCCAUGGGCCCCAGUUCUCUUCAACCAUGUCCCAGCAAGAGGCUGCAGACCAGGAUGAGGACCCAGCUGACAGAGCCCUACCCAGAAUGACUGGAGGCCUCUGCAAUAAACAGCUGCCUGGAAGAGAACACAGCACAGGUCUUGG